rnacentral:rRNA from 1 species
CCUACGGGAGGCAGCAGUGGGGAAUAUUGGACAAUGGGCGAAAGCCUGAUCCAGCAAUGCCGCGUGAGUGAUGAAGGCCCUAGGGUUGUAAAGCUCUUUUACCCGGGAUGAUAAUGACAGUACCGGGAGAAUAAGCUCCGGCUAACUCCGUGCCAGCAGCCGCGGUAAUACGGAGGGAGCUAGCGUUGUUCGGAAUUACUGGGCGUAAAGCGCGCGUAGGCGGUCCAUCAAGUCAGAGGUGAAAGCCCGGGGCUCAACCCCGGAACUGCCUUUGAAACUGGCGGACUAGAAUCUUGGAGAGGUCAGUGGAAUUCCGAGUGUAGAGGUGAAAUUCGUAGAUAUUCGGAAGAACACCAGUGGCGAAGGCGACUGACUGGACAAGUAUUGACGCUGAGGUGCGAAAGCGUGGGGAGCAAACAGGAUUAGAUACCCCUGUAGUC